rnacentral:rRNA from 1 species
UUGACCUCAAUCAGGGAGGAAAUACCCGCUGAACUUACAUAUCA